rnacentral:rRNA from 1 species
CACGCCGUAAACGGUGGGCACUAGGUGUGGGGGACUUCCACGUUCUCCGUGCCGUAGCUAACGCAUUAAGUGCCCCGCCUGGGGAGUACGGCCGCAAGGCUAAAACUCAAAGGAAUUGAC